CGGCGUCGCUCGCUCGUCGCUAUUUCCUAUAUUCAACAGAUAUUUUCAUGAUUUUCGUCAGUCGUCGAAGUAAAUGUAUAGUUAUGAAUACGUAUGUGGUAAUAACUUUACUUUUCAUUGCUGCGCAUGCGCAAGAUUGCAGGACGAGUGGACAAACGUGCGGUGCACACGAGCAGUGUUGUGGAGGAUGUUGCUACGGAGGUCAUUGUAUUGAUACGUACCGAUCGUGUCUACAAACUUUCAACGUGUGCCGAGACCAUCCCUGCAUCGGUGAACAGAACUGCGUGCAGUAUGUUCCGCCAGGCUGCCUUCGAUGUGAACCAUUACCAAUUUGCCUGUAAUCUGAAAAUAAUCAAUACAACGAAGGAAUAUGAAGAAAGAAUCGAACGCUCUGGUGUCAAAAACUAUUAGCGUCCCAUAUAUUAUUAUGCGCAAUCAGUUUUUUUAUUGUAAGAUGUGAUCUGACGAGCAAGACACCCUGGUAAAUAAUCUAUUCUGACUCUGUAAUGCAGUCACCACUCAGGAUUUAUUAUUACGCUAAAUACUAAGCAGCGUAGCGAUUGUAUUCGCCAUUUUGAAAAAUUUUAUUCGUUACAGUAGCUACUGUGCUCUUCAAACUAAAACACAAAUUUUUUUUUGAUCAUUUACUCCUUGUGACAUAAAAAAGCACCUCACUGGUGGGGCAUUAGUUAAACAAUAGACCAGAUCUGUCUGUUUGUCUGAUUCUGUAAAGAUUCAAAAUAUUAUUGUAUGUAGUCAUCACUGGCAUGUAUGUAGUUAACACUGGCAUGUAUGUAGUUAACACUGGCAUGUAUGUAGUUAACACUGGCUUGUAUGUAGUUAUCACUAGGUAAAUAAAAUACUGUAUAAUGGGGUGUCAAUCAUCAGGUCAGGUAUCAAGUAACCCCAAUGCUUGUGUGACUGAUAUAGAAUAAUCAAGUGAUUAAAGCCCAAAUUAAUGAAAAAUGUUAAAUUAAUUUAAAAUAUAUAAAAUAGUUAUAAGUUAUUAUUAUGAUUAUUCAAGGUUGUCUAGUUGGGAAUUAGUCUUUGCAUUUUUAUCAACCGGAAAGGAAAAUAACACCAACAUAACAUCAAAAAGUUAUGAUAGUGCGCUAUGGAAAAAUGUAGAGCGCUUGUAAUCUACGCUAUAAUUUAUUCUGAUUUGUUUUCAGCGGUUUCGGCUUGGCCUCCAAGGCUGCCUUGUUGUUCUCAGAACGCCAUUUUUAUUCGCGAGCACCUAUAUGUGACUCCCUCUAUCGAUUCAGGUUUAAUGAAAUUCCCACCCACGUUUUGGCGUAAGGCAAAAUGUUUUAUUUGUUUUCACAAUAAGUGUUUAGUAUAAUAAAUUUUAUUGUAAGUAGAGGUCACAGAAGGCAGAAAGAUAGGUGGAUAAUUAGGGAGGUAUUAAGUGAAAUUUACAUAUAAAGGUACACAUUGUUUCUUCUUAUUUAGCUUAGUUGUAGCAAACGUCAUCAUGUUGAAUGACAUGGCUUGUGGCAGCGUCAUAGGGUGGGUCGUGACUUAAUGUGUUCGAGGGGGGCGAUGAGUAGUCCAGGCGUCAUUUUUGUGAACAGUUGUUACUUGUGGCUGGAUGAUCCCCAUUGAGAACUCCGGUUCUAGUUGUCAUUUAAAUUUGAAGAUCGCUUGCCGGUCAGAUUACGACUAUCAGCGGUAUUUUCUUUUACAGUGCCAAUAAUCUCGGUCGUAAACUCGCUAUAUUCUAACUAAAAAACUAUCAAGUCUAUACUUGCUUUUAGUUGCUUGCUAACAUGGUUCCAGCCCAUUUCGCUUCUCGUUAUAAAACGGCGGUUGGACAAAUGCCUCAUUUAACAAUUGAAUCUUUUUGAACAUUUCACAAUUUGAAGCUAAUACGCCUAUACCUUUCACGCCUUCAAAAAAUCUGGACACCAUUUACUUAGUGAGUAUUUUAAGUAUCGUAAAACUUAAUUAUUACUGCAGAACGCAAUUUAGAAUUUAACGACUUCAAAUGCUUGUAAAUUUCUUCGAUUCUUUAGUAAAAACGUCUACGAAACUGCAAGUCGACUAAUGCACCAUUUAUUGCCGACUCAAUAACGCUUUUUACAACUCAGAACCCAUUACAGGGUCAUUCUUUAUAUUAAAUGAAAGAUACUCUAUUUCGUAGUAAGAGCAUUAUCUUUGUAACUACUGUAGCAUUAUUGGUGUUGCUAUAAAGAUUUUUGUGAUGUCGUUAAAUGAGUUGCUUGACUUGUAAUAUCAGUAUAAACUGUAACCACCAAGAUAAAUGUGAUUUACUAAACACUCAAUUUAAACUGUUUUUUUUGGUAAUAAAUAAAUAUCUAGAACAUGUAUUAAGCGAGACGAUGAAAGAUAAUGAGGACCUAGAGAGACAGAGACGGUCUCUGGCUGCAAAAAGCAAUAUCCUGGCUAGGCAUUUCGCCCGCUGUUCCCGACAAGUAAAGGUCACCAUGUUCAAAGCCUACUGCCAGGCACUCUACACCUCUCAGAUCUGGUACAACUACACCAAAGCCACUUUUGACGCUUUCAGAGUGCAAAAUAACAAUGCGUUUCGAUCUCUACUGGGGUUGCCAUGGAGGUGUAGCGCGUCGGGUAUGUUUGCGAUGCUCAGGGCUUACGAUUUUUAUGCUGUAAUGCGUAGCGCUAGAGCGGGAUUUCUGACGAGAUUAUAUAUAUGUUUUUAAUUAAUUAAUGUUAUCUAAUUAAUUUAGUAAUGUUAUAUACCUUUUUUUAAUGCAAAAUUGGCUAUGGAUGGUAUAAUCUGUCCGAAAUAAAAUAUUUUUAUUUUUUGGUUAUAUCAGUAUUAUAGUGUUCUAUCAAUUGUAAUGUUUACAUGGUAUUCAAUUUGUCAGAUCGUCCUACGCUUUUACUAUAUAUUACUGAUAAAAUAGUUCUUAGAUUAAGUCCUUAGAUUAAAUCAUCAUUUCGUAUGAGUGAGUAUGAGUUCUUUAAUUUAUAUUUAGGUAUUUAAAAUAGAAUUUAUAAAUUACAAUUUCAUAUAAAAUUUUUAAUAACUUAACUUAAGUAUUAUUAUAAUAAUAAACAUUAAAUAUAAAUGAAA